CACGACUGCACAUUGAAAUUCCGAUCGUCGGUCUGUGAUAAUAUAACACCACUCUAAAUCAUAUCUAAUUAAAACGAUUAAUAAUACUAGUCCUCUGUACGUCAUUGAGAACUCAUAUAAAUACGAGAAGAGGACUUAGUAUUAUUCAGAAGGUAGUUAACUCCAGUGUAAGACUAUUGCUCGUCGUGGACUUUGUCACAGCCACAUCGCCACGAGUUUACGGUCAAUUCUCAAAACUUGUAAUUUUACAUAGCAUCGCAGUGUCUUGCACAGCGAUCACUACACAAAUUUGGUGUCAGGUGUGGGGUCAUCUCAAUCAAGCGAAAUAUAAUUAUACCAAUAUUUUAAGUAACUUGAGACCCACCGACGAACCACGUUCUACGGGACAGCAAGAGUUAUCAAACCGGAUCAGCAGUCAGAACAGUGCAGUUCAAGGACGCCGUCUUUUCAGCCAGCAAGGCAGCUCAAGGAACCAAGUUAACGGAGCAGCGCAACCUCGGCAGCAAAGCGUAUACAGGCGCGCAGUUUUUCACCUUCCGAAACAAAGAUGAGCAAAGUGUUUUGGCUGUGCUAAAUCGGUGACGUUCUCUGCGACGGAUCUUUUGCUGAUUUUUUGAAAAAUCAGAACGAGACUCUUGGAACUGGCUGAUCGGACUAUUUUAGCAUUGAUUAAUCGCUUGACUUGUAGAACCAUACUUGUUUAUUUUUUUUUUUUUUUUGGUUUUGGCAAAACUAACCUAGCGUUGAUCGUUGCGACGGAACCCUGCUGACUUGUUGAUUUGAUAUUUAAUUGUAAUUAAUAUCAAAUACUAUGUAUACGAAAUUAAUUAUUUUGUUUUCCGUAGUCUGUUUAUCACAAUAUUCUUUAGUUGAUAGUAUUAGUGCAUCUCAGUAUUUUAAUGGAUCCUACGUGGAUUACCACCCUGAAAUAGAUGUUGAUACGUUAGACUCAGAUUUCCUGCCUGAUAGCGUGUCUGACAAUACUUGUUUCAACCAGACAAAGUUUAUGUUGAAUGUUCGUAAAUCUUUAAAAAUCUUUUGUUCCUUCAUAAGACCUUGUGAUCUGAGAUGUCAUCAAAAGUUGCGCUACAAACCCCAUCAUAUAUUUGAUAAUGAUGGUAAUAAGAUCCACUUUAUGCGCCUCACUUCCACCGUUAAAGUUCAUAGAAGAAAGGACAAAUCAGACGCUAAGGAAUUUGUUGCGAUUCAUGAUCGCAUUUAUAAGAUUUCUCAUAAACGUCGGGAACGUUCUCAUGACUUGUCGUAUCGUAAUUAUACUCACUUCAUAUCUCGUCGUGCACUAACCGGUAUCACUUCAGAACAGGCACGCAAAAUUGUUGGCGCCUAUGAAGUUGGAGUAGGUGUGGCAUGUUUGGCGGCAGGAGCUUCUACAGCUGCGGCCGUUGGUACUGCAGGUCUUGCUUCACCGAUGGCGGCAUUUUCUGUUUCUGCCUGUGGUAUUUUGGGUUUUGGUUUAUUAACCCUUGAGGGGCUUAAUAAAAUUUUUUCAUGGUGGUAAGAAAUGAUAUCAUUUAUUCAUUUAUUAGUCCACCGUCAUUGCAUGUGUUUUUUUUGACGUUUUUCACAUGCUCUUAUAGUAUAACGUCAGGUUAACCUUAUCAGUUUAAAUAAGACGUUUUUUAUUACUUUCUUCUUAAAUCAAAAUAUAUUUAAAUUAAAAAAAGAAAAAAAAAAUUAUUUAUGUUAUAUUAUUAAAUCAUGUAGAAAAUGUGUAUUAAUUUAAGUAAUACACCUACAUUGUAAGCAAUACGCCGGAGAUCAGAAAAACAUGUUCUUUCCGUCGAUUGAUUAGCAUUAACUCAGCGGAAACACCUGGUUAUACUUAUAUAGGCCAAAGAUCACCAGAGAUACGUAUUUUCCACAAAUAGGAAGUUUUAGCCACAUUCAGCGGAAACAACAUGUUAGAUUAAAUAAUUAUGUAAAUUACCAUGGUAAUAUAAUACCACUCUAAAUCAUAUCUAAUUAAAACGAUUAAUAAUACUAGUCCUCUGUACGUCAUUGAGAACUCAUAUAAAUACGAGAAGAGGACUUAGUAUUAUUCAGAAGGUAGUUAACUCCAGUGUAAGACUAUUGCUCGUCGUGGACUUUGUCACAGCUACAUCGCCGCGAGUUUACGGUCAAUCCCCAGUACUAGUAAUUUUACAUAGCAGUAAGCUAUUUUAAUUUUGUUUUAUGUCAUUAUUUAUUAUUUUAUUGUUCAAACUUAAUAAAACAUUUAUUUUAUUUCAAUUAAAACAACAA